CAGUAGCCGCGGUAAUACAGAGGGUGCGAGCGUUAAUCGGAUUUACUGGGCGUAAAGCGUGCGUAGGCGGCUUUUUAAGUCGGAUGUGAAAUCCCUGAGCUUAACUUAGGAAUUGCAUUCGAUACUGGGAAGCUAGAGUAUGGGAGAGGAUGGUAGAAUUCCAGGUGUAGCGGUGAAAUGCGUAGAGAUCUGGAGGAAUACCGAUGGCGAAGGCAGCCAUCUGGCCUAAUACUGACGCUGAGGUACGAAAGCAUGGGGAGCAAACAGGAUUAGAUAACCCGCGUAGUCCCUGUCUCUUAUA
rnacentral:rRNA from 1 species